rnacentral:misc_RNA from 1 species
GCACAUUUUACGCAAGUUUUUUAAAAGACAAAAAAAAAAUCAUGUUUAGGAAAUUAAUGUACCAAAUUUGAUAAUACAAAAAAGAGAUUCUUCUCAAGAUAGAUUGAAUCGUACAAAAAGUUAUAAUAAGUUUAAUGCAAAUAAAAGCAAUAUAUAAAUUGAACCUCUAUACAUAAGACAAAGAAGAAGUAGGUAAGAGAGAUAAUGAUCAUAUAAAAUAUGUUAGGCAGAUUUAACUCUUGUCAAUUAUGUGUUCUGUGUUAUAAUCAUUAUAAAACUCAAAAUCUUACAAAUAUAAUACAACUCCCAUAAUUAUUUAAUAGGAAUCACUUUUCACAAAAGAUACCGACAAACACUAGUUUUAAACUUGGAAAGAUUAAAAUCCACUCCGAUCAAACAUAGGCCUAAAUUGCUUCUUAUAAAUUCAUGUGUAUAUUAAUAAUUUGCUUCCAAUUCAAUAACCAAAAUAAUAUCUAAAUUUAAUUUUAGAAAGAUAAAGACAUUGCCUUCCAAAAGCCUCCCCACCAAAA